UUAUAGUGAAGGCAUGGACGGAAUAAGGAUUAGAGUUCAAGUAUAGGCCUAACACUUUUAGACUAGAUACGUAGAGUUGAGCAAGCCGAGCCUAGUUUACACUAGAGUAGAUAACAAACCUUAUUCCUUAAUCUCUCAACCCUCCGUGUUUCGAGAUAAGAGAUGAGGCCAUUACCUUCAAUGUAGCACAUGCGAGAGCGAUUCGCACCCGGCAUUUGUAAACAAAAUUGACAAUAUUUUUAAUCAAAACAACGAUUGGUUAUUGUUAUUUAUAAUAUUUCUGCCACACCCAACUACAAUUAAGCAUAUAAUCCUACCUGAAACGGGUACAAAUCCCCUCUUUUUAAAUCAAAGUGACAGUAGAUCGCUUUUUCCGACAUUUUAAAUUUACGUCUGUACACACAUAAAGGCGGGGUCUCGUGUGCAAUAGCCAAUCAAAGUACCCAUCUGAUCAGAGUUGCGCAGUAGGUAUUACGGGUUAUGGACAUAACGGCCAAAAGCAAAAACGGCCAAAACAUAUUUGGUCAUAAUGGUCAAAAUUUGGUCACAAUGGCCAAAAUUUGGUCAUAACGGCCCAAAAAAAUUUUGGUCACAACUCCCAAAUUUUCUCCUACCUGCCCUUAAUAAUAGCCAAGUUUACAGAGUUUUAGAUUAAAAAAAAAAUAAUUAAAAUUUUGUUAAUGGUUGUCAAAACAUCCUUUAUAACUUUUUCAAUCUUGCAAUUUAUAAAGUUUUAAAGUUCUUUUGUCUUAUGUGAUUGUCACAACAUUAUCCCAAAUUAACCAUCUGGUAUAAUUCGAGCCUUUUCUCACAAUGAUGAGACAUUCUUGUCUCAAUGAUUAUCAAAACAUCCUUUAUAACUUUUUCAACUUUUAAAAGACACCAUUGUUUAAAGCUUUUUUUUUAUGUAAUUGUUGAAACCCCUUAUUAAAUUAGCCCUCUUUAAUUGGACCAUUUUUGUAUAAUGUUGAGGCAUACUUGUCUCAUGUUCUCACGACAAUUUAGAUUAUAUAUAAAUUAAAAUGAAGUGAAUCAUAAUCAUAUUUUGUCUACAAUAUCACCUUAGGUGGAAGUGGACGUAAAACCCCAGAAACGAACGAAACGAAUCAUAAUCAUUCGUUGAUCUAUAUUUCCUAAGAUCAGAUGCUUGACUCUACUCUUGUGUCAUAAUGAAGUGUGUUUAUUGUGCCAAAACUGUCAAAAAAAUCAGCAUGCUGUUUCUUGUGAUGCAUGUGGUAGUUGGACACACAGAUUAUGUGGUACAGACAUUUCGAAGGAAGACUACUUAAGAGCCCAAGACCAGACUAUCAGUUUUGUGUGUUCUGUCUGCAAUGUCCCUGUUGGAAACUUUUCACUAAAUGCAACAAUUGAAUCAUCACUAUUAGCUUCUUCUGAAAGAAUAAAUAUAAAGUUCAUGGUGGCACCCAUAGCUUCAUAAAAAAAACUAAUGAGUUUACCUUUUUUGCCAAAGUCACACAUACGUGACAUUUUACCAACUUCAGGGUAAAACCACAAACGAUAAACUAAUUGAGUUAAUGGAUUAUAUGGAACGUCAGUGGAUUGACCAUAGCCUUUUUAAAAUGUCAUCUUGGAGUGUGUUUAACCAGACAAUAAGGAUAAACAAUAACAUAGAAGGGUGGCAUCGACGCAUCAACCACAAGGCUGGUGAGCAGCAGUUGGGGAUGUAUGUAUAAGCUGAUAAGCUUUCUUUUUGGAGAAGUCGACAUGUUGCCCCUUCAAGCCGCAUUAUUGUUCGAAGGAAAAUUGAGGCGUUAUUUCAUCCGAACAUGUACGAACGCCCAAGAAGAGAUUUACCAUGCUUGGAGAGAAUAUGAGAAUGGAGAUUUGAGUGCUAGCAUGAUGUUACGGAUAUGUUCCCGUCACCGUGGACCCGUUGAAUAGAUAGUCUGGGGCCAUAACUCUGGCAGUAAUUAUCAGAAAUCGCUGAAAAUCAAUAGACUUCUUUAUCGCAUGACCUUAAACACUGUGUAUGAAUUUAAAGUCAAUCGGAUAUUAACUUUAGCCUCUAGAGCAUCCACAAGAGUUUUUAAUGUGAUCAAGGGUCAUAACUGGCAGUAAUUAUCAGAUGUCGCUUAAAAUCAAUAGGCUUCUUCGUCCCAUGACCUUAAACACUGUGUAUAAAUUUAAAUUCAAUCGGAUAUUAACUUUAGCCAACUCUAAUCUCCCUUAAUGUAUCUUUAAGUGUUAAAACACAUUGUAUUUUAAUACAUCGCAUUCCUGAUAUUUCUUCUUCCUCUUUUGAAUUAAUAUAUUUGUUUCAAUUGAUCAUGAACAUAUGCCUCCGUGUUUAUUUUUUGUUGUUAUUUUUGUUAUAAAAUAAUUUAUGGCCAUUCAAAAAUAAAAUAUAUUAAAAUUG